rnacentral:tmRNA from 1 species
GGGGCAGUAAUGGUUUCGACAAAUAUUGUUAAGUGUUAAGUGGCAAGUAGUCGCAAGAAGACUUAAAAAUCUUAAAAAAAUUAAAUGACAAAACAGAAAGAAACUUCGGUUUCAACUUUGCUCCUUCAUUUGCUUAAGAUAAGCUUGGAGCAAUCUUCUCUAGAUUUAUCUAUGAUUUAGAUUAGAUUUUAUAUUAGUAGAUUAUAUUAAAUUAUAUGUUUAGGAUAAUUUAACGAAUCAAAUCUAAACUUGUUAUUAAAUGGGUAAGCUAAAGCCAGUUUAAUAACGAAAACUAAUUCUUAGCUAAACUUGUAGAAACUUAAUAUUUAAGUAUUUGGACAGGAGUUCAAUUCUCCUCUGCUCCACCA